AUCCAAAUACCUCAGUUGGUAGAGCAUGAGAUUCUUAAUCUCAGAGUUGUGGGUUCGAGCACCACGUUGGUCA